UACAGAGGGGGCAAGCGUUGUUCGGAAUUACUGGGCGUAAAGGGCGCGUAGGCGGCCUUCUAAGUCGAACGUGAAAUCCCCGGGCUCAACCCGGGAACUGCGUCCGAUACUGGAAGGCUUGAAUCCGGGAGAGGGAUGUGGAAUUCCAGGUGUAGCGGUGAAAUGCGUAGAUAUCUGGAGGAACACCGGUGGCGAAGGCGACAUCCUGGACCGGUAUUGACGCUGAGGAGCGAAAGCUAGGGGAGCAAACGGG
rnacentral:rRNA from 1 species